rnacentral:rRNA from 1 species
AGCAGCCGCGGUAAUUCCAGCUCCAAUAGCGUAUAUUAAAGUUGUUGCAGUUAAAAAGCUCGUAGUUGAAUUUCGAGAUCAAAUUGUUGGUCGUGCCUCGGUACGUACUGGCAAUUUUGGUUUUCCCUUCUGAAGAACCAUGAUGUCAUUAAUUUGGUGUCUUGGGAAUCAGGACUGUUACUUUGAAAAAAUUAGAGUGUUUAAAGCAGGCUCGCGCUUGAAUACAUUAGCAUGGAAUAAUGAAAUAGGACGUUUGAUUCUAUUUUGUUGGUUUCUAGGAUCGACGUAAUGAUUAAUAGGGAUAGUUGGGGGCAUUAGUAUUCAAUUGUCAGAGGUGAAAUUCUUGGAUUUAUUGAAGACUAACUACUGCGAAAGCAUUUGCCAAGGAUGUUUUCAUUAAUCAAGAACGAAGUUAGGGGUCGAAGACGAUCAGAUACCGUCGUAGUCUUAACCAUAAACUAUGCCGACUAGGGAUCGGAUGAUGUUAAUUUUUAAUGUACUCAUUCGGCGCCUUACGGGA